rnacentral:tRNA from 1 species
GGGGGCGUGCCGGAGUGGUUAUCGGGUAUGACCAGAAAUCAUGUGGGCUUUGCCCGUGCAGGUUCAAAUCCUACCGGUUACG